AAAUACAAAAUAUCGGAUGGUGCAGUAUUCUAGUCGAUUCUCCAUUCUCGAGGGCGGGCCUAAAAAUCCGCUGAAGGGCACAUCGAUGAAGUUCCUAGUACCGGCUCGAAGCGCCCAGCUUUGGGUCGAUAUUGGGAGUAAAGGUGUAAGGGCGAUCCACAACGGCAUGUGGGCGUGAACCCUUACACCGCGGAGGCCUCUUAUGGUGUCAGCAUAAGAGGUAAGACCUGCAGUGCGUGCCAAAGGGAAGGUAUGUAUGCAGCGUAGCCUGCCUUGAGUGGAGCAGCGGGGAAGGUAAUGUACAGGGUGAUUAUUUCCGUCGGCCAACGGAUUGUCUUCCUUUUACCUGAAACCUGCUCUGCAAAAGAGGCUAAGAGAGUGGCACGGAAUUGCCGAGGAAAACUCCUAGACUGUUCACAUUCAGACGAAUAAAGUGGAUUACAGUGUGUUCUAAGUGGUAAUCCAGUCUGAUGACCGGUGACGGCAUCAAGUCGUUUUUAAAGGGAAACCACCAAAGCGGCGACGUUUUGGCAGACGACUGGGAAAUCCUACUGGACCUAAGGCACAAUGUUUACACUUUAUUCGACCAUCCGAUAUCUUACAUAC
rnacentral:sRNA from 1 species